AAAGAUAGGCCCCGAGCCGGAAACGGCGGAGGGUCAUACCUUCAAACCACCGUGAACAUUCCUUGUUGCUUCCGUGGGGCAGCGACCCAGAGUCGCCCGACUGCCAACGCGGUCGGAGAACCCGCGGCAAGACCACAAACCCAACUCUUGUUGUGUGUGCCUGUCUGAACAUAAGCAAAUUCUUA
rnacentral:misc_RNA from 1 species